UGCUAGCCAAGUCGUGCAGUUUACUGUCAGAUUUUAUAGUUCUUUCUCUAGUUAAUCCUGCGUGAUUUACAUUUCAGAGAUGUGGUGGUUGUCAACUUUGAGUUGUGGUUCUGCACGUUUCAAAGGUUCUGAUAUACUUAUUUGAGAUUGUUUUAGAAGUUGCCGGUCUUUCAGUACUAUUUGGUACCACGGCUUUGUGGAUGCUUCAUCUGAUAUUUACUUUCAUACUCAGCUUUCUAUGCUAUUAUGGAAAGCGUGUUUACAGUAUUUCUAGGAGUACCUUUGCAAAAAUUUAAAAGAAAAAUUAUAAUUAGGAGACCUUUGAAUGAAUAGAUUUUAGUGAGUUUCUG
rnacentral:lncRNA from 1 species